AUGUUCACUUUCCGUCAACAAUCAGGAAAGAGGAAGGCUCUUGAUGAUGGUCCUUGGAUGUUUGGGAAAUCCUUGCUGGUGGUUGAGGAUUUUGACCCAAACAAAAGUGUAAAGGACUAUGCAUUUAGAAGGGUUCCGAUCUGGGUCCGAGUGUUUGAUCUCCCCCUGGGCAUGAUGUGUAGGGAAGCAGGUCUGGCUAUUGGAGACAUAAUUGGGGAAUCCCUAGAGGUCGAUGCAGGCCCAGAUGGUAUGGCGGUGGGUAAAUUCCUUAGGAUUAAAGUUCGUCUAGAUAUCUCGAAGCCAAUUAUGCGAGGCUUUGUGCUGGAAGUUGAGGAUGAAAAUGAGAAAGGGAAAAGGAAUCUUACAGUGGAGGAGAAGAAGAAAAAGGAAGUGGAGCAAUGGCAACAUUUUGAGUAUGAGUUUUUACCGGACUUUUGUUACAUAUGUGGCAUGCUGGACCAUGUGGACAAGGAGUGUUCUGUCAGACUAGAGAAGGGGGAAGAGAAGCAGUUCGGUCCUUAGCUAAAGGCG
rnacentral:rRNA from 1 species